AUGCGGACUCCCAGAAGUCACCGCGCACCACUCUCUUGCUACCCCAGUUCCACUGGCGUCGCGAACAUGGCGGACGUGGAGACACCGCGGGAAGAGGGAGAGCAAGUGGCAGAGAAGACCCUGCUAAACGGGGAAGCCGCUGAGAAGGAUGAGGCAGAUCCCAGCGAAGAGACAGCAAAGAAGAGGAGGAAAAAGAAAAAGAAGAGCAAGUCUGCAGCCCCCGCAGGACACACGGAGGUGGAUGGUGACAGUGUGUGCGAUGUGAGCAAACAGCUGGAGCAGCAGACUCUGGAAGAGAAAGAGGGGGAUGAUGACGGAGGAGAAGAAGGUAAGACCACCCCCCACCCCUCACUCCCCCCACCACCACCUGGGCUGUUGCUGGCGAUUGCAUGCUUUUAGGUAGGUAGAUCCCUAGUUUUAGACCAAAACUUCAUAAUGUUGCUUUAACAGAAGUCCUCAGAAAGGCAUUCUGAACUUGAACUUUCAAUCAGCAAAUUGCAAUGGUUUCACUUUACAUUGCAAUGGUCAUCUGUGCAGGGGCCGUCUCCAUAUCCUCUCUCAUGAGCUGAGCUAAGUCAGACUCUCCAGGCAAGAACUCUAGAUAGCUGCUGACUUUUGAACGUGUUCCACCCUGAUCAGCACAGACUCAGCCCUGAUCCGACCGGCACGACCCACUUACUCUACACCAGGGGCCCAUCCGAAUACUCAGUGUUCUGUGGGUAUGCAAUAAGAACCUACUCGCAAACAGUUACUGCAGUAUGUUCUGUGGGUAUGCGAGCGAGUAGUAAAGCCACAACUGGGAUCUGGUUCAGAGUGAGCUUCCUCUAGGGGAGCCAGUGAGGCAGUGAAGCGAGUGGCUGUGCACUGGGCUUAUGGGUCCUGCCUGGCAGUGUCCGUCACAGAGCGUGAGGUGAUGCAAACCAAAUGCAUUACAAUAGGACUGUAUCCACAUCGUGCCUUUAAAAUACAGCAGUGAUGUCUGUUUAGAAAUCAGGCUGUCACAUCCGGCCUUGAAAAUACAGCAGUAAUGUGUGUUUAGAAAUCAGGCAGUCAUGUCCUGCCUUUAAAAUACAGCAAUGAUGUGUGUUUAGAAAUCAGGCAGUCACAUCCAGCAUUUAAAAUACAGCAGUGCUGUGUGUUUGUAAACCAGUAGAACCAUAAAAUAUUACACUUAUGCCUCUGGUUAUGUGUUUAGCAGACUCUUUUAUCCAAAACUAUUUAAACUAUGGGGGCCAAUCAUAUCCCAACAGAGCAAGCCCUUAGUCCCUCCCCUACUCUUGAUGAGCUGAAAACACAGCCGAUCAGGAGCUUGGUAAUGACCUGAUGGGUUGAGCCAGGUGUGGUGAGAGGAGAGAGACUCUAAAUGGGUCAGAGACUGUCCUUCCAUAUUCACAACCUCCGCUGUUGCUGGGAGAACCGAUGACGCUCAUCGCUAUGGGUACCAUUCUGUGCUGCAAUAAAAACUGGAGUAUAUUUUAUGCCUGUGAGUUA
rnacentral:lncRNA from 1 species